rnacentral:tRNA from 1 species
UGCCCUGUGGUGUAAUUGGCAACACAUGAGAUUCUGGUUCUUAGAUUCCAGGUUCGAGUCCUGGCGGGGCAG